AGUGAACGCUGGCGGCGUGCCUAACACAUGCAAGUCGUGCGAGAAAGGGAGCAAUCCUGAGUAAAGCGGCGAACGGGUGAGUAACACGUGGUUAACCUGCCUGGAUGUGGGGGAUACCCCGGGGAAACCCGGGACAAUACCGCAUGUUGUCUCUCGGGCGUCGGCCUGGGAGAGCAAAGCCGGGGACCGCAAGGCCUGGCGCAUCCAGAGGGGACCGCGGCCGAUUAGCUAGUUGGCGGGGUAAUGGCCCACCAAGGCAUCGAUCGGUAGCCGGCCUGAGAGGGUGAACGGCCACACCGGAACUGAGACACGGUCCGGACUCCUACGGGAGGCAGCAGUGGGGAA
rnacentral:rRNA from 1 species